AUACCUUUCUCGGCCUUUUGGCUAAGAUCAAGUGUAGUAUCUGUUCUUAUCAGUUUAAUAUCUGAUAUGUGGGCCAUGUGCCCACAACGAUAUUAAAUUUAUUUUUUCUGGGGGACGGUCCAUCACAGUGGCUUGCCAUUGGGGCCCUCAGGUGUUGCACUACAGACCAGGCAGGCGCACCCCAA
rfam:Triticum urartu cultivar G1812 contig1013085, whole genome shotgun sequence.